ACGCUCGACACCUACGAGGCAGCAGUGGGGAAUAUUGCACAAUGGGGGAAACCCUGAUGCAGCGACGCCGCGUGAGCGAAGAAGUAUUUCGGUAUGUAAAGCUCUAUCAGCAGGGAAGAUAAUGACGGUACCUGACUAAGAAGCUCCGGCUAAAUACGUGCCAGUAGCCGCGGUAAUCUGAGCGGGCUGGCAAGGC
rnacentral:rRNA from 1 species